UACGUAGGGCGCAAGCGUUGUCCGGAAUCAUUGGGCGUAAAGAGCUCGUAGGCGGCCUGUCGCGUCCGCUGUGAAAUCCCGGGGCUUAACCCCGGGCGUGCAGUGGAUACGGGCUGGCUGGAGGCAGGCAGGGGAGAACGGAAUUCCCCGGUGUAGCGGUGAAAUGCGCAGAUAUCAGGAGGAACACCGGUGGCGAAGGCGGGUCUCUGGGCCGAUACUGACGCUGAGGAGCGAAAGCGUGGGGAGCGAACAGG
rnacentral:rRNA from 1 species